rnacentral:rRNA from 1 species
UACGUAGGGUGCAAGCGUUGUCCGGAAUUAUUGGGCGUAAAGAGCUUGUAGGCGGUUUGUCGCGUCUGCUGUGAAAUUUCGGGGCUCAACCCCGAACUUGCAGUGGGUACGGGCAGACUAGAGUGUGGUAGGGGAGACUGGAAUUCCUGGUGUAGCGGUGAAAUGCGCAGAUAUCAGGAGGAACACCGAUGGCGAAGGCAGGUCUCUGGACAGUUCCUGACGCUGAGGCACGAAGGCCAGGGGAGCAAACGGG